rnacentral:rRNA from 1 species
CCUACGGGUGGCAGCAGUGAGGAAUAUUGGUCAAUGGACGAGAGCCUGAACCAGCCAAGUAGCGUGAAGGAAGACUGCCCUAUGGGUUGUAAACCUCUUUUGUCGGGGAGUAAAAGGUUCCACGUGUGGCAUUUUGUGUGUACCAGAUGAAUAAGGAUCGGCUAACUCCGUGCCAGCAGCCGCGGUAAUACGGAGGAUCCGAGCGUUAUCCGGAUUUAUUGGGUUUAAAGGGGGCGUAGGAGGUAGAUUAAGUCAGUGGGAAAAUUUUGCGGGUCAACCUAAAAUUGCCGUUGAAACUGGCAGUCUUGAGUACACUAGAGGUAGGCGGAAUGCGUGGUGUAGCGGUGAAAUGCUUAGAUAUCACGAAGAACUCCGAUUGCGAAGGCAGUACACUGGCGUGCAACUGACGCUGAGGCACGAAAGUGUGGGUAUCAAACAGGAUUAGAUACCCGUGUAGUC